UAUUUUUUUCUGGGUUCAUUCCCUGCCCUUGUUUGCUCUUCACUGUAGUAUGUGUAUGUGUUACUUUGGUCAUUUGUUUAUUCGUCAGGUUGCCUUGUUAUGAGAUCAUCAGUGUUUCUAGUCUUGUUUUACUGUCUAUGUGUUCUUUGCUUUUGUUCAUUUUUGGCAACAAGUCACUUAUGUUGUUUUUGUUAGGUUUCAUUUUGUUACAUUGUUCCUUGUAUGUUUCAGUUAGCUUUACUUCCUGUUUUAGUUUGUAGUUGGUCUGCCCUAGAGUCUCCUGUCAUGUUUUACUUCCUGUGUUUUUUCUGAUUGUCUGAGUAGUGCCACCUGUGUGUAAUAAGCUUGAUUCGACAGGAGUCUGUGUGUAUAUAGUUUAGUCUCUAAUUAGUCUCCUGUUUAGUUUUAUGUCUCCCAGUUUCUUGUGGAUUACUUUCUCGUUUGGAUUUUUGGACUUGUCACCUGCACUGUAAGUUUCACCAUCUCUGUGUCUGCAUUUGGGUCCACAAACUUUGUCUCCUGCAUUCAGCCCUGCCGGCUGAAUUAACUCAGAAAUAAAGAAUGUAUAGAGAAUAUAGUGGAAUCAUGGCAAUCCAAAAGUUAGGCACGGUUUGGCAAUUGCACUGACAGCCUUAAGUACACACAACUACCUCUUCUUCAGCCUCUGUAACCUUUAAAUGGAGGGCAUGACCACUACAAAUAUACGACAUGACAAGAGACAAGAUGGGGUGCAGGAGAACAUGCUGUUCCUGUCUGACACUAUAUGAUGAUAAUAGGAAACAACAGGCCUCCCCUCAAGAUUUGUGUGUGCCAGCAACAAUUCCCCAACCGCAGCGCUGUAACACAAGCCAACAACAUGGAUCUGCAGCACUGUCCUGACUCGUGACAGCAAAAUGUUGGCUGCAGUAGUAGGGAAGAUGUCAGAGGAGUCUGGACAGGAUGUCCUUUGACCAAACACUUCUCUCUUCCUCAAGGAGCUUUUCACACAGCAAACUCAUUGUCACCUGAUGUCUAAUGCCUUGCCAAACGAGUUCACAAAAUGCUGAUUAAGCUUCUCACAAUCAGAACUUUUCAAAGAGUCUCUGGCUUGCUUGACACCUGAAAAAGCAGUCAGUAAACGUGUGAUUGGAUUCCUCUGAAAUGGAAAUGAAAGCGUCCAUGGAUUUAUGAAUGCGGAUCAAACGGCGGGACGCGCAUACACUGCAGCACAUGCUUUACUGUGAGCAUAAUGCAAAAGCGUCCUUAUAGGCUAAACAAUUUAUUUAACAAGGGAGGUGGGGAGAAAAGUUUUGGAAUUGAACCAACUGAGCACAUAAAUAUCCAAGGGUUUGAAAUAAAUUGACUUUGUUCUGGCCCGCCAUGUAACGGCUUGAGAAAAAUUUGGCCCAAUACCAGAAUUAUUUGCCGACUGCUGGUUUAGCCUGUUGUGAUUUUAUUUUCUGGUCGAGUUUUCUGCAUUUGUUCUGUAUUUAGUCUGCUAGACUCUGCUUUUUGUCUGUCUGCCAUGAUUGCAAAGAUGACUCUCACCUGUGCUUGAUUACCCUGCCUGCCUGGUUGUGUGUUGUCCUGUGUCAGUAUAGCCUCAGUUCUGUUCAGUCAGAUGUGUUCUUUGGAUUAUUUUGUUGUACCAUUUGGAUCAUCUGCCCUGUUUGGAUUUUGUUACUUUUAUGGAACGCAACCUCUGUUUUUUGACUUGAAUGCCAUGAAUCCAUGUAAGCUUAUCAAAGUUUUUUGUUUAAUAAAUCACAAGAACUGCA